AUUGAACGCUGGCGGCAGGCCUAACACAUGCAAGUCGAACGAGUGGCGGACGGGUGAGUAAUGUCUGGGAAACUGCCUGAGGGAGGGGGAUAACUACUGGAAACGGUAGCUAAUACCGCAUACUAUCAGAUGAGCCUAGGUCGGAUUAGCUAGUUGGUGGGGUAAAGGCCUACCAAGGCGACGAUCCGUAACUGGUCUGAGAGGAUGAUCGGCCACACUGGAACUGAGACACGGUCCAGACUCCUACGGGAGGCAGCAGUGGGGAAUAUUGGACAAUGGGCGAAAGCCUGAUCCAGCCAUGCCGCGUGAGUGAAGAAGGUCUUCGGAUUGUAAAGCACUGUUGGUUGGGAAGCGUUAACAAAAGAGUAAGCACCGGCUAACUACGUGCCAGCAGCCGCGGUAAUUC
rnacentral:rRNA from 1 species